GCUUCAGAUUCCGUGUCUCCCUCCCUUUCUCUGCCCCUCACCUGCACAAAAAAUAUUGCACAACUGUGAUUAAAGAAAAGGCUACAAUAAUACAGGUUCUCACAGAUCACCCAUGUAAAAAUUACCAGCAUGGAAUUGGAACAAGGGACUGGCAUUCCAAUCUGAAGAGAAGCUGCCAUCCAUGGAAGCAACUAGAGAAUGUGUGCAGGUAGAAGACAAAAGAAACCUUAAGAACAUCUGCUUUUGAGAGAUAUGUGAAAGCAGGAAAGCCAGCAAGGAAACCGGGUGGUUCCUUAUUGCAUUCUAAACGAAGCCUCUUAACACUUUAAACAUACUUAUCAGGGGUGCGCCUGAGUGACUCAGUUAAGUGUCUGACUAUUGAUUUCCGCUCAGGUCAUGAUCCAACGGUCGUGAAAUCGAGCCCUAAGUUGAGCUACACACUGAGCUUGGAGCCUGCUUAAGAUUCCCCCCAACCCGCC